rnacentral:rRNA from 1 species
UGGCGGACGGGUGAGAAACGCGUGAGGAGCUGUCCUAUGCAGGGGGACAACAGUUGGAAACGACUGCUAAUACCCCAUAAGCCGAGAGGUAAAAGGAUUUAUCCGGCAAAGGAGGUACUCGCGUCCUAUCAGCUAGUAGGUGAGGUAACGGCUCACCUAGGCGAAGACGGGUAGCCGGCCUGAGAGGGCGAACGGCCACACUGGAACUGAGAUACGGUCCAGACUCCUACGGGAGGCAGCAGUGGGGAAUAUUGGGCAAUGGGGGAAACCCUGACCCAGCGACGCCGCGUGGGUGAAGAAAUCCUUCGGGAUGUAAAGCCCUGUUGUAUGGGAAGAGCAGAAGACGGUACCAUACGAGGAAGCCCCGGCAAACUACGUGCCAGCAGCCGCGGUAAUA